CUUAUGAACUGAUGUUUGGCAGACAACCCCGACUACCCAUUGAUUUAGUCUUAGGUAUCCAACCUGAAAAUGCCAACCAUAAGUCUCAUUCAGAGUAUGUGAACAACCUUCGUCAACGUCUGGAGGAGAGCUACACCCUAGCUGCAAAAAACUCCCAGAAGAUCGGAGAAAGGAAUAAAGUUAGGUUUGACAAGAGGAUUAGAGUGGCCGAGCUCUGUGCAGGUGACAGGGUUUUGGUUAGGAACAUGAGUAUCAGAGGUAAACACAAAAUCUCAGACAGGUGGGAACAGAAAGUACAUGUUGUGGUUAAACGAAUCAAUGAUGGCCCUGUCUAUGUUGUGGAACCCGAGUUGGGAGACGGACCAAAACGCACCUUACACAGGGAUCUCCUUCUACCGUGUGGGUUCUUACCUGUGGAAGAAAUGGCAGGGAGCAGAUCUCAUGGGCCCUCUAAAGGGAAGAAACCAAGGAACAAAGCCGAAAGAGAAGUACAAUCUUCUGAUAACCCUGAUGGUCAGGAAGAUGAGGUAUACAGUGAUGAGGACGAAGUGUAUCCAGCUUUUGUGGUUCCAGAAAUAAUAACCAGAGGUCCUUUUAUCCAGACUGAAAGGCAGGUUAUCACACCUCAGCUGUCCACUGGGGAUGUGCAUUCUAGUUUGGCCCGUGCAGAGCCACAAGACGAGUCACACGCACGAGAAACACCCAGUCAUGUUUCUGAACCUGAGCCUUUGUUACACUCAGAAAGCAAUGAGGUGACCACAUCUCCCAUUCCAUCUGAUGAAGGUCCAGGUUGGGUUGUUAUUGACAUUCCUGAACAAACAGAAUCUGUUGAAAUGAAUCAAGGAAGCAGCGACACUGCUGAGCGGAGUUUAGAGCCAGAGACAGUAGAGUUGCGGCGUUCUGGGAGAGAGAGACGCCAACCUCGUAAACUAACUUAUGAUGAGUUAGGUGAGCCUUUAAUUUUGGCUCUCAGUUCCUUUUUGUCAGAGUUUCGCAAUUGUAUUCUCUCAGAGCACUUUCCUUCACACACCUGUUAAGUCAAGUGUGCAUGCAGAGACUCAUGCACUUUAGAGGGGGAGAGUGUAACCCAGAUCAUUGUUUGAGUAUGGGAUUUCUGAUUAUUUGUGGUCACUGAACGCACCACUGUGCCGUGCGCAUAGCCACUCUCUAGUCCAGCUACAGAGUUUUUCCUUCCGUUCGUCCGAUGAGGCGCAUGCUGCUCUCGUGCCCUCUACGAGCUGGAAAUUCGGGAAAAAGUCUUGUAGCGGUUACAAACGUGAAGCGGAGCUGAGUCCGACAGCAUUCGCCAUUACACGAACUCCUCUGGCUGGUUUGUUUGCCCUUUUGGUGCCCUGGAUCCUACUGGAUGAACUGCCUUGUGGAAGUCCUCAUCUGAUGACUCUGCCGAACCGUCCUGGCAAAUAGAUGGUCGUUGCUGCUUGCUGGAUGCUAUUAUUGGAUGCUACACCGUUCCAACAGAGCGGUAGGAACAAUUCAAAGGGCCCCAACGAUGCGCUUUAUUUUUCCCUGAGCUCAGGUGAUUUUCUUUUGGCCAAAGGACCUUAAAGGAUACAUAUUUGUUUAUUUAUUUGUUUUAUUUUUCUUAUGACACUGAGUGGAAAGACACUACAAAAAAAGGGGUUUAUUAUUUAAAAUUGUGUCAAAUAAAUGUGUUUAUGCUAAGUAAGUGUGGUGUCCAUUGUGUGCUGGAAGCCUUAUUGUUCCUGUGGUGGAGCAGCUACUACCAAUCUCCUUUACGAAACUAGCUUCUGACAGGAUAUAGAUAUUUGGGAUACAUUUGAUUUCUUGUAACCUAUUUUUAGAGAAACUGUGAUUCUGGGUUAAACAUCGGGGUGAAAUUGAUGACACCGACACCUAGUGAACUGCCCAAGGUCAACAGUCCUGAUUUCCACGCAUUAAAGGUUUGGCGUAAGUACAGAUUGCGUUACACCUGCGUUCACAGAAAAAUGUACAAAUGUCAUCUGUCCAGCAUGGUUAACGCUUGUAUAGAUCUACCUCCAGCUGUUGUAAUCCUAGCCAGGUCCACUCCAACCAUGCUGGACGCCAUCUGAGUCCAAUAAAUAUAUUUUGAUUUCAUCUGUCCAAAACUGUGCUGCCAGUUUUCAUUAGCUUCUUUUAAUGCUCAAAGUUCGAGUUUGAAGUUUUGUGCUGUUUUCAGACCAGAUGUGUCUUUUUUUCUCCUUUUUCUUGGACACUGUGUAUAGUAGGGGUUGUCCUAAUGCAAAAUUCUUCACAAUAUCUGAGCAGUCACUGAAACAGCAGUUUACCACACAGCUGUUCAAAAAACUGUAAUUUAUAGCUAAACUUCUAUUUUUAAAAAAAGUUGUUUUAGAUCAACGUUUGUCUUUUCUAGACAAGAACAAAAUUUAUGAGACC
ensembl:lncRNA